rnacentral:rRNA from 1 species
GACGUAGGGCGCGAGCGUUGUCCGGAUUUAUUGGGCGUAAAGAGCUCGUAGGCGGCUUGUUGCGUCGGCUGUGAAAUCCCGUGGCUUAACUGCGGGCUUGCAGCUGAUACGGGCGGGCUGGAGUUCGGUAGGGGAGACUGGAAUUCCUGGUGUAGCGGUGGAAUGCGCAGAUAUCAGGAGGAACACCGGUGGCGAAGGCGGGUCUCUGGGCAGUAACUGACGCUGAGGAGCGAAAGCGUGGGGAGCGAACAGG